rnacentral:rRNA from 1 species
UGCGUAGGCGGGUUUCUAAGUCAGAGGUGAAAGCCUGGAGCUCAACUCCAGAACUGCCUUUGAUACUGGAAGUCUUGAGUUCGGGAGAGGUGAGUGGAACUGCGAGUGUAGAGGUGAAAUUCGUAGAUAUUCGCAAGAACACCAGUGGCGAAGGCGGCUCACUGGCCCGAUACUGACGCUGAGGCACGAAAGCUGGGGGAGCAAACA